UGCAAGUCGAACGGUAACAGGGAGCUUGCUCCGCUGACGAGUGGCGAACGGGUGAGUAAUAUAUCGGAACGUACCCAAGAGUGGGGGAUAACGUAGCGAAAGUUACGCUAAUACCGCAUACGAUCUAUGGAUGAAAGCAGGGGAUCUUCGGACCUUGUGCUCCUGGAGCGGCCGAUAUCUGAUUAGCUAGUUGGUGAGGUAAAGGCUCACCAAGGCGACGAUCAGUAGCUGGUCUGAGAGGACGACCAGCCACACUGGAACUGAGACACGGUCCAGACUCCUACGGGAGGCAGCAGUGGGGAAUUUUGGACAAUGGGCGCAAGCCUGAUCCAGCAAUGCCGCGUGAGUGAAGAAGGCCUUCGGGUUGUAAAGCUCUUUUGUCAGGGAAGAAACGGGUUUGGCUAAUAUCCAGUCCUAAUGACGGUACCUGAAGAAUAAGCACCGGCUAACUACGUGCCAGCAGCCGCGGUAAUACGUAGGGUGCAAGCGUUAAUCGGAAUUACUGGGCGUAAAGCGUGCGCAGGCGGUUUUGUAAGUCUGUCGUGAAAUCCCCGGGCUCAACCUGGGAAUUGCGAUGGAGACUGCAAGGCUAGAAUCUGGCAGAGGGGGGUAGAAUUCCACGUGUAGCAGUGAAAUGCGUAGAGAUGUGGAGGAACACCGAUGGCGAAGGCAGCCCCCUGGGUCAAGAUUGACGCUCAUGCACGAAAGCGUGGGGAGCAAACAGGAUUAGAUACCCUGGUAGUCCACGCCCUAAACGAUGUCUACUAGUUGUCGGGUUUUAAUUAACUUGGUAACGCAGCUAACGCGUGAAGUAGACCGCCUGGGGAGUACGGUCGCAAGAUUAAAACUCAAAGGAAUUGACGGGGACCCGCACAAGCGGUGGAUGAUGUGGAUUAAUUCGAUGCAACGCGAAAAACCUUACCUACCCUUGACAUGUCAGGAAKACUGRAGAGAUYUGGCAGUGCCCGAAAGGGAACCUGAACACAGGUGCUGCAUGGCUGUCGUCAGCUCGUGUCGUGAGAUGUUGGGUUAAGUCCCGCAACGAGCGCAACCCUUGUCAUUAGUUGCUACAUUUAGUUGAGCACUCUAAUGAGACUGCCGGUGACAAACCGGAGGAAGGUGGGGAUGACGUCAAGUCCUCAUGGCCCUUAUGGGUAGGGCUUCACACGUCAUACAAUGGUACAUACAGAGGGCCGCCAACCCGCGAGGGGGAGCUAAUCCCAGAAAGUGUAUCGUAGUCCGGAUCGUAGUCUGCAACUCGACUACGUGAAGUUGGAAUCGCUAGUAAUCGCGGAUCAGCAUGUCGCGGUGAAUACGUUCCCGGGUCUUGUACACACCGCCCGUCACACCAUGGGAGCGGGUUUUACCAGAAGUAGGUAGCUUAACCGCAAGGAGGGCGCUACCA
rnacentral:rRNA from 1 species